GCCAACCAUAAAGCUGUCUUGCCAGUCUACUCCCAUCAUGAAGGAAAAGGGCAUGAAGAUGUAGGAGCAUAUUAGCUGCAAAAACCAGAAUAUAUUUGGUUAGAACAGGCAUUUGCUUCUAGUUCUUUUGCCUCAUUCUCUCAACAAGAUUGUUCCUGAAUCCUCUAUCUCUUUUAGACACAAGAUAUCACCUCAUAUUCUGUUUCCCAUCAUUAUAUAUCAGGAGUUGUUAUGGUUUAAAUAUGGGUUCAUCCUUACCAAUACUCCUGUUGAGGUUUGGUCCUCAGUGUAAUGCUGCUGAGAGAUGGUGGAGCCCAUCAGAUGAAUUAAUAUCUUUCCCAAGAGAGACUGGAUUAGUUUUUUCUGGUAUAUAGUAGUACUCUAGAGAGUAUGUUGUUAUAAAGUGGGUGAGCUCUUUUGUCUCUCCUCUCCCUCUCUGCACAUGCCCAUUUGCCCUUUCUAUGUUUCUACUAUACAGGGUACAAACAAUAGCCCUCACUAGAAGUUGGACAGAUGCAGCCACUUGACCUUGGAUUUCUAGCCUUCAGAACGGAAAAAAGAAGAUGAACUUUCUUGUUAUAUAAAGCAACUCCAGAAAUGCUCAUCCUAUGGCUUUCUAACACCUUUAAACAAAAGCUCAAUGAACACUAUGCUGUAUUUACAAUAAGAUAUAUUUAUGAUGAACAGUUAAAGAAACGUAUUGAAAUUCAGGUAUUUAGAAAGGUUUUCCUGAAGUGUUGAGAAAGAUGUUUUUUGGUAAAGUCUAAUUACAAGAAAUUAAAUCUACUUUAAUAUCAUAAUCCACUCUGUGCUUUCUCUCUAUCAAAUUUUUGCUGUUUUGAAUUUGGACUUUCAUGCUCCAACUUGUGUAGUCAUUGUUAUGGUUUGGAUCUGGAAUGUCCCCAAAGGCUCAUGAGUUGGAAGCAUAAUCCCUAAUACAAUAAGGUGUUUGCUGGAUUGCACCAUUGAUAGCUGAAUGGACCACAGGAAGGUGGGACCUAGUUGGAAGAAAUAGGUCACUGGGGGUGUGCCCCAGAAAGACUUAUCUAGUCCUGAGCCCUUCCUCUCUUCUCUAUUUUCCCUACUGUCAUGAGCUGAGCAGCUUUCUUCCACUAUGCCCUUCCGCCAUGAUGUUUCUGCCUUGGAGUCAGCUGACCAUGGACUGAAUCUUCUGAAACUGUGAGCCAAAAUAAACUUUUCCUCUUCUAA